GGGAAAUGUAUCACACCCGCUGCCUUCAUGCUUCCAAAGAAGAAAAAUCCAGAGCAGGGGCAAGAAAGCGCCGGCAGCGACUCUGCAGGCUCAGGGCUGAGGACCCGGUAAUGAAGUCUUUCUGGAAGAUAAAGAUCUUGUGCUCACAGCUUCGGCUUGUUGACCUUGUCAGGACUGCUGUGCUGUCUGGAAAUUGGUCCCAGAGAGAGAAAAGGGCAUUGUUGUUAGGGGCUGCUUGGUGGAUUGGGUUUUCGGUUCUCCCAGCAGAAAGGAGCUCAGUUUGCCAAAUAUAAAUAAAUAAAAACCUUCUCCUCAAAACA